UGCGUAGGCGGAUCUUUAAGUCAGGGGUGAAAUCCUGGAGCUCAACUCCAGAACUGCCUUUGAUACUGAAGAUCUUGAGUUCGGGAGAGGUGAGUGGAACUGCGAGUGUAGAGGUGAAAUUCGUAGAUAUUCGCAAGAACACCAGUGGCGAAGGCGGCUCACUGGCCCGAUACUGACGCUGAGGCACGAAAGCGUGGGGAGCAAACA
rnacentral:rRNA from 1 species